CGCCGUCCGCGCCCACCUGACAGCGGCUCGCUGCGGUUUGUUAGCC
rnacentral:sRNA from 1 species